rnacentral:rRNA from 1 species
AUACGGAGGAUCCGAGCGUUAUCCGGAUUUAUUGGGUUUAAAGGGUGCGCAGGCGGGAGAUUAAGUCAGCGGUUAAAUCGUGGGGCUCAACCCCAUUCUGCCGUUGAUACUGGGUGGCUUGAUUGCGGUCGAGGUUGGCGGAAUUCGUUGUGUAGCGGUGAAAUGCAUAGAUAUGACGAAGAACACCGAUUGCGUAGGCAGCUGACCAGAUCGCAAAUGACGCUCAUGCACGAAAGUGCGGGGAUCGAACAGGAUUAGAUACCCUGGUAGUCCGCACAGUAAACGAUGAAUACUUGUUUUCGGCGAUAUAAUGUCGGAGGCAAAGCGAAAGCGAUAAGUAUUCCACCUGGGGAGUACGCCGGCAACGGUGAAACUUAAAGGAAUUGGCGGGG